rnacentral:misc_RNA from 1 species
CACUGACCGAGCAUAGCCAGAGGGACGGUGUUGCCGGGCCGCGUGAGUGUGCUGUCUUUCCUUGCUCCCGCGUUCUCACAGUGCCGCUAGCCUCAUUUGAGUGUCGCGCCUAAUGUCGUCGGCAAAGUCGCAGCAGGCAAAAAACGGUGCCGGUAGGUAUCAUGAGUCGGUCUCACACGCACCUUUGCCAGAGUCGCCUUCUCAAGCGCCUGCAUUGACCUCAACAUCGCAGAACGAAGCUGUUUCAACAGAGCACCUGGGCUGGGCAUCUCUCAUCAAGGAGCAGCAUCGACACCUGCAGGCGGCCGUGCAGUCCGGUGUCAGUGGCAGUGGCACUGUGGUAACCGCCAUGGGCGCUUCAUAUUGUCUUACUGCCUCUGCGCCGCCACCGUCGUACCACGAAGAGCUGAAAGCGUGGCGGUGCACGCUGACAGGCGAGGCGGCUGCGCAGCGGCUCUCCGCCUAUGCUGAGGCGAUGCAUCAUCUCGCAACGCUGUACUGGAAUCCAUCUGUGACACCUCUGGCGGGGCACGGCACUGGAGUGGAUGAUAGUAGCCGCGCAAGAGGCGAGCCUGCAGCGCACGGCGGCCGCGCAGCAACGUCUGAAUCCACCGCACCACGUCUUGGCGAGAAGCGCAAGCGAAGUAGCGAUACGGCAGACGGGGUACAAACGCCGUCUUCUUUUGUGAUGAUAGGCGAGGCAAUGUCAGCUACGGUAACUGCGACGAUGUCCGACACCGACUCUCGCCACUACAGCGACCGCCUCGGCUACUGCUUGCAGAGCAUCGCUUCCUACUACCUCGGCGAGGCAGAGACGGAAGGUUGCGGGGAGGGAACUGCAGGCAGCGCACCCGGCGCCGCUGAUGGCCGACCUCCGGCGGCUGUGCAAUCGUCCUCCCUGCCAUGCUUCAGGGUGUGCGUCGAGCAGACACGCUUCCGUCAACUGCCUGGAGUGUUUGCACGAGUCGUGAAGCCCCUUCGCAGGCUCUUCUUUCAGCGAUAUGGUCGCAUGGCGACGGAAGCGGAGGUGGGCCAUCUGAUCAGCGCCUGCACACCAUCCCGGGAUGGCAGCUGCAGCAUUGCGCCAAAGAUGUCGAGGGCUGGCGGCUUCUCUUGCUUGUCCUCGAGUACCGACUCAAUUAGUGGGUCGACAACGGAGGUGUGUGCAGUGCGAGGGCUCAUCGACGAGGAUGUAGACGCACGCGCCAUUGUGGAGGAGUCGACGUGGCGCCGAGGCGAGCACACCGCGUGGGCUACUGCGCUGCACUACACCCGCGGCGCGCCUCAUGCGACGCCGACGUCAGCGCCUGCGCCGCUGUGGACUCUGGAUGUGGGUUCAUGCUACGGUCCCUUUUUCGGCAGGAUCUUGAGCCGUACUGCGCCUCUUGCACCGGUACCUCUGCAUGUAACGUCCAUGGAUCUUGCGCCCUAUCAGGGAGCCGCGGGAUGCAACAAUGGCUCGAACGGUGCCCCGUCACCGUGUGUGUGGCAGGCGGAUUGGCUGCAGAUGGGUUUUUUCGCUGAAGAGCCGGAGGCAGACGAAGCGGUGCGCGGGAGCAGUACCGCCGUUGCAUCCGGCACGGCGGAGGAGGGCCGCGUCCGCUAUCAGCGGCAGCGCCCAGCCAGCAGCCUCACCGACGGGGGUGGAAACUCCGGAUUGUACCCCUGCGACUCACGUGACGGCAGUGCGGGCGACGCGGCGCAAAGUUCGCUUGCAGCGACGGCGGUGCGGCUGGAAAGCUACGACGCCGUUUUUUUCUGUCUUCUCCUUUCCUACAUCCCCACCCCACGCUUGCGUUUCUUGGCGUGCAUCCAUGCUUUCCUGGCGCUCAAGGAAGGUGGGCUGCUUGUUAUUGUGAGCACGCGCACACAGGGUCCGCGGCGUCGCAACUGGAUGAGCGAAUGGACGACGUGCUUGGCCUCGAUCGGGUUUCAGCGCGUGCAGCAGAGCAUUCAGGAGAAGCUUGUGGGCAUGUCCUUUGCAAAGGUGUCGCCCUCUGCAGAGGUGCGGCGGAGCUGGGCGACGGCGGAGGGUCGUGCUGCGUGGAUCGAGUCCCUAAUGGCGUCCUCGGCGGCCCUGGAAGGACUGCGUAUCACCGCAGACGACGCGAGGAGCCGCGCUGAUAUCUAACGAGGGAGGGGGAAAGGGGAGAGGGAGGCUGCACGAAGAUGGCGCGGGAGAAGGCGACGCCGUGGUUUCUUCUCUUCACCCGCGUAUGCACCCACAGGGGAACAGGGCGCGCGCGUGCGCAUCUCUGCACACUCGCCCGCGAAUGAGCACCGAAGCCCCCAGUUGGCACGCCGUUUCUCUGUUCUGCCUUUCUCCCUUUCUUUCUUCCCCGGUCUUGUCCUUUGAGUCUUCACUCCCUCCCACGAUCCUCCAGAGCACUUUGUGGAGCUGACAUCUGGUGAGGGAGCGUGGCGCACAACGAGACUCGGAGCAGAGCCUUUUAGGCCCCGGAAGAGGGUGGGCGCCUUCCACUGUGUUUUGCGUCGUACCUAUGUACGCAUAUGCACAACCGAAGUUAUCAUCGCCAGCUU